GGGGCCGAUUAGGAUUCGACGCCGGUGGCGAAACUUGAGGGGCAUGCCGAGUGGGUAACAGAACUCGUAAAUCCACUGUUGCAAAACUUAUAAUUGCCAAUGAUGACAAUUACGGUGCUCAACUAGCUGCGUAAGCAGCCUAGCGCACUUCUGGUAGCUUCGGCUCCAGCAAUCACUAGGGGAUGUCUGUAAACCCGAACUGAUUGUCAGAUAGAACAGAAUCGUCGCCUAGUACGUUGUGGACGAAGCGACUAAAUCUUACACAACUCGCCCAAAGCACCCUGCCCGUCGGGCGGCCAAGGGUUAACUUAGUAGACACGGCUAAGCAUGUAGAACCGAUAGCGGAGAACUGGCGGACGGGGGUUCAAAUCCCCCCGGCUCCACCA
rnacentral:tmRNA from 1 species